rnacentral:rRNA from 1 species
GACGAAGGGGGCUAGCGUUGUUCGGAAUUACUGGGCGUAAAGCGCGUGUAGGCGGUUGUCCAAGUUGGAUGUGAAAGCCUUGAGCUCAACUCAAGAAAUGCAUUCAGGACUGAAUGACUAGAGGACCGGAGAGGAUAGUGGAAUUCCCAGUGUAGUGGUGAAAUACGUAGAGAUUGGGAAGAACACCAGUGGCGAAGGCGGCUAUCUGGACGGUUUCUGACGCUAAGACGCGAAAGCGUGGGGAGCAAACAGG